AAAGUUUAUUUUCGCCUUUUCAGAUGCUUUUUACAUUAAAUUUGAGAUAUAUUCAGGGCUAUUUUGAUGUGUUUUGCUACAUCAAAAUCGCUUCUAAUUUAAAGUAAAAUUAAAAAUAAAAAUAAAUAAAUAAAAUAAAAUUUAAGAUAAUACUAUUUUUUAUAACUCACUUGUUAACAUUAAACACUGUUUAAUGCGUCGAUAUUCUAUUUUUCUGUUUUUAUUCGAAGGGCCAACUCGGUAAAUCGCGAAGAAUUCAACAUCCCCAAUUGGGCCACAAUGGCCCAGGAUGCCCCAGCCCAUGGUAACUCAAGUAGGCUCUUCAGGGCCCAGGCCCAAAGCCACUCGAAGGCUGCAGAACGAUAGGGUUAGGGUUUUUAGGUUUUCAAAGGCCGCAUCUCCACUAUAUAUCCGCAAAAACUCCUCCCUCCUCUCCAGAUCGCAGUCUCUGCCUUAAGAUUAGGGUUAGGGUUUAGGGUUUCAGAAAAUGAGGGUUUCGGUGUUCUUUCUUUCAGCACAAUGUCUCCCGGGCUAAUCCGAAGACUUCUUGAAGAAAAAGGCCCCAACACACGUGCUAAAACGACGCCGUUUAGUGUUGCAGUUCAAUCUUGAAUCUCUCCCACAGCUGAUCUGUGUCAAAUCAACGGCCACAUCCCUCUCUAGAUUUUUCCUUUUCUUCUUUUGUUUGCCUCUCCUCACCUUUAGCUUUUUUUCUGAAUAAUAACUCUGAAAAAAGGUCUAGUCAUGGAGGCACAGAUUGAUCUUCGGCGGUGUCAAACGUGGGGGCUUCACUUUUCAAUGGUUUUGCCUCUAAAAACACCCGCCAUAUCCACCUCUUGUCUGGAGGAUGAGAAUUCGAGGGAAAGUGAUAGAAAAGUUGGAAUCUUUGAUACAUUUCAAACUUCUUUCCCUUGUGAAUUCUUCUGAUUUUGAAAUUGUCUCUGGCAAUGAUUAUAUGUUAUCCGCGCUUCUGAGAGCAAUCGAUGAAGCAUAAAGGAAAAAAAAUGGUUGAAUUUCUUAAUAUGAGCCAGCUCUGAUAAUUGUAGUUUUACAGAAAAACCCCCAUAGUGAUUUGAAUCUCAGUGGACUCUCUGAAAAACCUGUUUGAUGUUUUUUGCAGUGAUGAUGAAUUAUAGCUUUUAAUGCCAGGUCUGCUUCAGAAAAUUCUUGAUUGAUAGAGCUGUUAAUUGCUCUGAGCCCUCUACCCAAAUCUUCCACAAACCAAUAAGUAGUUUUUCCAACUUUGAAUUGUUGGGUUUUCAAUUUGUCGAUUGAAGUGUGUUUGUUUGUAGUCCUUCAAACCUUGAACUGUAGGGUUUGAUUGGGAAAAUGCCUACUGAAAAUUUGAUUGAUUUUGGUGUUGUUUAAUAGCCAAUGAUGAUAGAAUCCAAUAUUUGGAGGUGUUGUGGAGCCAAGACCCUGUGUUUCAGGGAGAACCUACUUGGUGAAGCUACAUUCAAAUGACAUAAAUGGAUUCAGCUGAGGCAAUUUCUAUGAUUAGAAGUUCAUACAAUUGUUUUAAUGUUUUGUAAUUUUGUCAUUAGAAAUGUUUUCAAAAUAAUCAUCUGGUGUUUGGAUGCAAAUAAUAAUGUUUUUAUUAAGAAGAUAUAUAGUAGUGGAUGAUUUAUUCAUCUUCUCUGUUUGCAUCUUGAGUUUAAGUUGAUUAACUAUGCUUUCUACCCUUGCAUGGUGGGUAUGGAGGCUGAAAAACUCAGAAAGUUAGGUGUUGUAAUCAGCUUCUUCUCCCCUUUACCACGAGACUGGAGUUAAAUGCCAUCACUACAUUAGAUUUUUUAAGCUACAAUUCUCGUGCAUUCUUUUCUUAGGUCUCUUUCUCAUGCAGUAUGAUAUGGUGUAGUGGAAUGCUUUCAUUUUUUUUGCUGCAACAUCUUAGAAACAAAGGAUCUGUUUGGAAUAAAAGAAAAAAAAAAACCUAUUUUUCUGCUUUUUUAAGAAUGAUUGUGAAAUGUGUUUUUUAUGUUUUUCAUUCUAAAGGGAAAAAAAUUGUUUUAAAAAAUAGUUGUUAAAAAGGUUCUGGUCCUCUGGGUUUGUUAAGGUGUAUUGAUUCAAUUCUUUCACUGAAUUCCAAUAUACAAACUGUUUGUGCGUCCAAUUCCUUAAAAUUGAUUUGGGAUUCUCAAUGUUGUGAGUAUGAUAUAAUAAACAUAUGAUUUAUGUUAUACUAGAAUUAAAUAAUUAUAACAAUUUGAAAUUAUGUAUAAAUAAUCAAAACAUUAAAAUGUUUUUAUCUCUAAACAAAAAUUAUAAGAUUUAAAUGUCUAGUAAGUAUUGGUAAAAUAUUCAAUAUGUUUAUUACAAGUAAUGUAUAAGACGACUAGCUUAGUGGUAAUCUAUUCUAGAAUUAGACCUUUUGAAUAAGAAAAGAAAGAAAAAAGAAAAAGAAAUAAGCAAUUGUUUUAAUAAUUGGACUGAUUAUUGAAUUGGAAAACUUAUUGGUUCAUGGUUUAAUGGUCGGAUCAUUAAUUGAAUCAAAUAAGUAACGUUAUAAAUAUAUGAUUUAUAAUUUAUUAAAAUUAAAAAUAAUUUUUAAAAAUUAAUAAUAUUUAUAAUAAUAUUUAUUUAUUUUUAUAUAAAUAUAUUAAUAUUUUAAAUUUUAUUAAACAAAACAUGUACAAUAUUUAAAUAUGAAAAUAUAUUGAAAUUUGAAGAAAAUUUGUAAUUAUAUAUAUACUUACAUUAUUUUUUGAAAUGACAUGUAGUUUAUUUAUUGUUUUUAUAAUUUUUAGGGUUUAAUACAUUUUGUCUCUUUUAACCUAUCACGUGUUUUAAACAUUCCACCUUUAGGUUUAAAAUCGAACACAAUGCACCCAUGCUUCUUAAAUUGUAGCACUCGACCUUGAUUGUUGGAUGGUGUUAGUUUUUGUGGAUGGAAAUGUUAUAUAUUGUGCACGUGACUGACGAAUGAAAGGUAAAUGUGGAAAAUUGCAACCCCAAACAAAGAGCUAACACAACUGCAAGAGUAAUAGAGGAUUCUCCCAUUCAUUGUUAUUGCGGUAAAAAGGCUCGUAUUAUGACAUCUUGGACUAAUCUAAAUCCGGGGAUAAGGUUUUUAGGAUGCAAUAAGCAUAAGAGAUAUGGAGGAUGUGGAUUCUUCAUGUGGUAUAAUGCUCCAAUGUGUGAUAGGUCGAAGCAAAUCAUUCAUGUAUUGUUGAAUGGUUUGAAAAAUAAGGAGAAUGAAGUAUUUGUUUAUCGAAAAAGGGUUAAAUGCAUGUUUUGGUUGAUGACCAUUCCAUGGA